CAGCAGCCGCGGUAAUACGGAGGAUGCGAGCGUUAUCCGGAUUUAUUGGGUUUAAAGGGUGCGUAGGCGGCUUUUUAAGUCAGCGGUGAAAUUUUGCAGCUUAACUGUAACAGUGCCGUUGAUACUGGGGAGCUAGGAUUUGGUUGCUGUGGGUGGAAUGUGUGGUGUAGCGGUGAAAUGCUUAGAGAUCACACAGAAUAUCGAUUGCGAAGGCAGCUCACAAAGCCAAGAUUGACGCUGAGGCACGAAAGUGUGGGGAUCAAACAGGAUUAGAUACCCUGGUAGUCCACACUGUAAACGAUGAUAACUCGCUGUCGGCGAUACACAGUCGGUGGCCAAGCGAAAGCGAUAAGUUAUCCACCUGGGGAGUACGACCGCAAGGUUGAAACUCAAAGGAAUUGACGG
rnacentral:rRNA from 1 species